rnacentral:rRNA from 1 species
UGGGGAAUUUUGGACAAUGGGCGAAAGCCUGAUCCAGCCAUGCCGCGUGAGUGAAGAAGGCCUUCGGGUUGUAAAGCUCUUUUAGUCGGAAAGAAAAGAUCAUAAUGAACAAUUAUGAUUCAUGACGGUACCGACAGAAAAAGCACCGGCUAACUACGUGCCAGCAGCCGCGGUAAUACGUAGGGUGCGAGCGUUAAUCGGGAUUACUGGGCGUAAAGGGUGCGCAGGCGGUUUUGUAAGUCAGAUGUGAAAUCCCCGGGCUUAACCUGGGAAUUGCGUUUGAAACUGCAAGACUAGAGUGCAGCAGAGGGGAGUGGAAUUCCAUGUGUAGCAGUGAAAUGCGUAGAGAUGUGGAAGAACACCGAUGGCGAAGGCAGCUCCCUGGGUUGACACUGACGCUCAUGCACGAAAACGUGGGGAGCAAACA